AUUUGGGAGAAGGGGUGUGGUAGGUAGUGGGUGGGAUUUGGGAGAAGGGGUGUGGUAGGUAGUGGGUGGGAUUUGGGAGAAGGGGUGUGGUAGGUAGCGGGUGGGAUUUGGGAGAAGGGGUGUGGUAGGUAGCGGGUGGGAUUUGGGAGAAGGGGUGUGGUAGGUAGCGGGUGGGAUUUGGGAGAAGGGGUGUGGUAGGUAGUGGGUGGGAUUUGGGAGAAGGGGUGUGGUAGGUAGCGGGUGGGAUUUGGGAGAAGGGGUGUGGUAGGUAGUGGGUGGGAUUUGGGAGAAGGGGUGUGGUAGGUAGUGGUGGUUCACUGAUGUAAACCUCCAUUGUUUGUUCCUUCAUUAUCCAUCCAUUUAUUCAUUUUUUUUCAUUCCCUACAUUUUUUUUAUUCAGUCACGUGUUUUCAACUUGAGCAAAGUAGUGUUUGUUCCAUUUUUUAUGGGGGGGCACAUCCCACCAUGCAAGCUUCUCUUUAUAAAGACCCACCACUGUCUGGUACUGUGAGACGCCAUUGGCAGCAGCUCCCAGGUCACUAUGCACUCUGACCAAUCCGUGUGGAGUGGGGCCUGUGAAUCCUUUGAUAUACUUCCUGAUUUGAUAUACCUCUAUACUGGAAUUACAGCUUCUGUUUUACAUCUGGAAUUUCAGAACCUAUACAACUAUACUAUUUGUAGCUUUUUUACUGUCCGUCAAAAAAAUCUAUCUUCUGCUCAGUACCUCUCCUUUGUCGUUUUCUUUCACUUCUCUCUCUUUUCAUGAUCGGUCAUUCUCUCCCUCUUAUUUCUGUCUGUGGCUCAGAACAUGCAGCAUGUGUGUGUAAAGCUCCACCGAGGGUAGGCUCGAUCUCAGGCUCGAUAUCAACCUGUGCUGUGUGCAUGUACAUAAUGUAUAUUUCUUUUGUUGACUGUAUUAAAGAAGAACCAGAGAAUCCUCGCUGUCACGUUGUUUUUUUUGUCGCUGUAUACUGGUACAUUAAGAGUGUCUCUCUGUCUGUCUGUCUGUCUGUCUGUGUGUCUGUCUGUCUCGCAAUUUUAAUUUAAGGGGCUUUAUUGGCAUGGGAAACAUGAAAUAGAUAAUAAAAGUGAAAUCUCUCUCGGUCUCUGUCCUGUGAAGACAUCCUCCAUCACACUACUGUCAGAAAUAAAGAGGUGCUCUCUAAUCUCACGUGUUGGCUACAUGUUGUAAUUUAACUAAUUGUCUUUUUAUAAAAACAAAUUCCUGCUACAUCUGUCUGACUGGCACAGAUGACACCAGCUCAAUAAAACACAGCACAAAAAAACACUGAACUGAAAAAAGAAAUAAUCAAGUCAUGAUUUUUCCCUCCCGUUUCAUUGUAAUGAUGGAAAUAAGGGCAUCAUUCUGAGAUUAGUGCUUCUAUUUCUCCCUGCGUGACACUGGCUGUUAUACCCGCCUCUGCUACAGAGCCUGAGAGAACAAUGGAACAACAGGCAGGCUGUCGUCUCAGGGCCGUGGUGAAGGCAGACGAGGCAGAGACAUGCUCAGGUCUGACCCUAAACUGGAACUACAACCGUGAGUAACAUAACAUUUGCGUCAUUUAGAAGACGCUCUUAUCCAGAGCAACUUACAGAAGCAAUUAGGGUUAAGUGCCUUGCUCGAGGGCAAAUCUGCAGAUUUUUCAUGUUGUCGGCUCGGGGAUUCGAACCAGGAUAAUGUUGCACACACACGACCCUAACCCAAACCCAAGUCUACUGCAACACCUAACAAAUACACAUCGGCAUAACCGUCCUUAACUCCUGUGACUGAAGAGGAUGCCCCUAAUAACUCAGAACUUCAGUGUCAGCAACCAGAGCUGUUGCCUCGGGGAGCUCCUACAGAGACCUGACCCUGAACUUAAACUAACAUCCAAGCCUACAGAAUCCAAGCCUACAACAAGAGUGUGGGUACAGAGGAUGCCAUUCAUAACUCAGAAGGAAACACUUGUGUCCAGCUGUUAGCAGUCACCCAGUGCAGUAGACUUGACCACUUCAGUGUCCAGCUGUUAGCAGUCACCCAGUGCAGUAGACUUGACCACUUCAGUGUCCAGCUGUUAGCAGUCACCCAAUGCAGUAGACUUGACCACUUCAGUGUCCAGCUGUUAGCAGUCACCCAGUGCAGUAGACUUGACCACUUCAGUGUCCAGCUGUUAGCAGUCACCCAGUGCAGUAGACUUGACCACUUCAGUGUUAAAGGUUGAUUUGGACUCACCGGAGAGUCAUGGCUAAAUCCUACUAGGCCGAAGGAGUUGUACAUACAAACAUUUCACUCCAGUCCAGUAGAAUAUGACUGUCCUGGCCAGGGGCCAGUCUGUCUGUGGUCAGUCUAUACCAGUCCAGUCUACAUCCUGGUCUAGCAGCACUACUAAACCCCACCAAUCUGAUUCAUAUUUGGGUGUUUUAAUUCGUCUGUGUUUAUGAGUAGGCAGCUGAGUCGGCGGUUUCCUCAUUAAGAGGACAUGAAAGGGCUCUAUAAAGGAGCCUUGGUGAGACCGGCCCGCAUUCUGACGUCUGUAGGCUAGGGGACGACGUGACAGCGGGACCGGCCCAGACCGGCCUGCCACAGUCCCAGAUGGCACCCUAUUCCCCAACGGGCCCUGGUCAAACGUGCACCAUGUAGGGAAUUGGGUGCUGUUUGGGACGCCGACCAUUCUGCUCGGCAUCAGCCAGUGGAGGGACUGGCAGGCACACACCAUCAUACUGUAGUGGGAUACGCACCAAGCAGCCAGGCACCACUCCUUUUCAUGGUUUGGAUAUGUAUUUGUCUCUGUAGUUAUUAUUGAGCUGUCUGAGCAGUGGCCUGUAUUUGUUUGUUUGGUCUAAAAACAAGCUCUUGGUUCCAUCCUACCACUAGCUCUGGCCGUUCAGUGCUAGAUAUGCCACGGUAUGAUAAUGUUUCCACCUGGCCCUCCGCUGAGUGAUUCCACACACUGUUGUUUUGUAGGGGAAGCUGGAAAAACAACCCUGUAGCUCAAGAACGGUUUUCCUUUUGGCUCAUAGCCUUUCCUGGAAUCCUGAAUACCCGGUGUGACUGAUGAUCCCUACUAAGUUGCCUCAUUGCAUGUCCACCAUGUCAGGGGUAUCCAGGGCUUGUUGUCCACCAGGUCAGGGGUAUCCAGGGCUUGUUGUCCACCAUGUCAGGGGUAUCCAGGGCUUGUUGUCCACCAUGUCAGGGGUAUCCAGGGCUUGUUGUCCACCAUGUCAGGGGUAUCCAGGGCUUGUUGUCCAC
rnacentral:lncRNA from 1 species